rnacentral:pre_miRNA from 1 species
UGUGCACCGGUGGGAUCCCUCAGCCUGGCCUGCACUCUCUCACAAUCUGAGACCCCUCGGGGAAUGUAGGACUGUCAGUUUCAUCCUGAUCCCUGUAGGCCAGGCUGAGGGACCCCACCGGUGCACG